UACGUAGGGACCAAGCGUUGUUCGGAUUUACUGGGCGUAAAGGGCGCGUAGGCGGCGUGGUAAGUCAGCUGUGAAAUCUCCGAGCUUAACUCGGAACGGUCAGCUGAUACUGCUGUGCUAGAGUACAGAAGGGGCAAUCGGAAUUCUUGGUGUAGCGGUGAAAUGCGUAGAUAUCAAGAGGAACACCUGAGGCGAAGGCGGGUUGCUAGGCUGAUACUGACGCUGAGGCGCGAAAGCUAGGGUAGCAAACGGG
rnacentral:rRNA from 1 species